UUGAGUUUGAUCGUGGCUCAGGAUGAACGCUGGCGGCGUGCCUAAUACAUGCAAGUCGAGCGAACAGAUAAGGAGCUUGCUCCUUUGACGUUAGCGGCGGACGGGUGAGUAACACGUGGAUAACCUACCUAUAAGACUGGGAUAACUUCGGGAAACCGGAGCUAAUACCGGAUAAGAUUUUGAACCGCAUGGUUCAAUAGUGAAAGACGGCCUUGCUGUCACUUAUAGAUGGAUCCGCGCCGUAUUAGCUAGUUGGUAAGGUAACGGCUUACCAAGGCAACGAUACGUAGCCGACCUGAGAGGGUGAUCGGCCACACUGGAACUGAGACACGGUCCAGACUCCUACGGGAGGCAGCAGUAGGGAAUCUUCCGCAAUGGGCGAAAGCCUGACGGAGCAACGCCGCGUGAGUGAUGAAGGUCUUCGGAUCGUAAAACUCUGUUAUCAGGGAAGAACAAACGUGUAAGUAACUGUGCACGUCUUGACGGUACCUGAUCAGAAAGCCACGGCUAACUACGUGCCAGCCGCCGCCGUAACACAA
rnacentral:rRNA from 1 species